UAGCCGCCGCGGUAAUACAGAGGGUGCGAGCGUUAAUCGGAUUUACUGGGCGUAAAGCGUGCGUAGGCGGCUUCUUAAGUCGGAUGUGAAAUCCCUGAGCUUAACUUAGGAAUUGAAUUCGAUACUGGGAAGCUAGAGUAUGGGAGAGGAUGGUAGAAUUCCAGGUGUAGCGGUGAAAUGCGUAGAGAUCUGGAGGAAUACCGAUGGCGAAGGCAGCCAUCUGGCCUAAUACUGACGCUGAGGUACGAAAGCAUGGGGAGCAAACAGGAUUAGAUACCCCAGUAGUCCCUGUCUCUUAUAA
rnacentral:rRNA from 1 species